UGGACCAAUGAUGACACACGUGACGGUAGGAGUCACAGGCGAUGAAGACAAGUCUGAAACUCUGAGGUCCAG